UAUGCAGAAAGAAGAACACACAGAGAGAAGAGAACACACACACAGAGAGAGAAAAAAAGCAAGAUGUUUGGAUAUUUUUUUUAUUUUUUUUUGUCUUGUUUUUUUUUUUUUCGCUCUUCUGCUG
rnacentral:ribozyme from 12 species